AACGAACGCUGGCGGCAUGCCUAACACAUGCAAGUCGAACGAGACCUUCGGGUCUAGUGGCGCACGGGUGCGUAACGCGUGGGAACCUGCCCUUAGGUUCGGAAUAACUCCCCGAAAGGGGUGCUAAUACCGGAUAAUGUCUUCGGACCAAAGAUUUAUCGCCUUUGGAUGGGGCCGCGUUGGAUUAGCUAGUUGGUAGGGUAAAAGCCUACCAAGGCGACGUUCCAUAGCUGGUCUGAGAGGAUGACCAGCCACACUGGGACUGAGACACGGCCCAGACUCCUACGGGAGGCAGGAGUGGGGAAUAUUGGGCGAGGGGCGCAAGCCUGAUCCAGCCAUGCCGCGUGAGUGAUGAAGGCCUUAGGGUUGUAAAGCUCUUUUACCCGGGAUGAUAAUGACGGUACCGGGAGAAUAAGCACCGGCUAACUCCGUG
rnacentral:rRNA from 1 species